rnacentral:rRNA from 1 species
GACGAACGCUGGCGGCGUGCUUAACACAUGCAAGUCGAACGGAAAGGCUCAACUUGCUUGGUGCUCUUGUGUCGAACGGGUGUGUAACACGUGGGGGAACUACCCCUUGCUUCAGGUUAAGCUCGUGAGACUGUGGCUAUUACAAACGAGGACAAACGUCUAGUGAUGGUAAUUGUUAGCUUUUUCGGUUUGGGAUGAGUCCGCGGCCUAUCAGCUUGUUGGUGGGGUAAUGGCCUACUAAGGCGGCGACGGGUAGCCGGCCUGAGAGGGUGGACGGCCACAUUGGGACUGAGAUACGGCCCAGACUCCGACGGGAGGCAGCAGUAGGGAAUAUUGCACAAUGGGCGCAAGCCUGAUGCAGCGACGCCGCGUGGGGGAUGACGGCCUUCGGGUUGUAAACCUCUUUCGACAGGGACGAAGCUUAAGUGACGGUACCUGAAGAAGAGGCACCGGCUAACUACGUG